rnacentral:rRNA from 1 species
AGCGAACGCUGGCGGCAGGCCUAACACAUGCAAGUCGAACGAACCUUUCGGGGUUAGUGGCGGACGGGUGAGUAACACGUGGGAACGUGCCUUUAGGUUCGGAAUAACUCAGGGAAACUUGUGCUAAUACCGAAUGUGCCCUUCGGGGGAAAGAUCUAUCGCCUUUAGAGCGGCCCGCGUCUGAUUAGCUAGUUGGUUGAGGUAAUGGCUCACCAAGGCGACGAUCAGUAUCUGGUCUGAGAGGAUGAUCAGCCACAUUGGGACUGAGACACGGCCCAAACUCCUACGGGAGGCAGCAGUGGGGAAUCUUGCGCAAUGGGCGAAAGCCUGACGCAGCCAUGCCGCGUGAAUGAUGAAGGUCUUAGGAUUGUAAAAUUCUUUCACCGGGGACGAUAAUGACGGUACCCGGAGAAGAAGCCCCGGCUAACUUCGUG